CCGUGCUAGGCGGGGGGCUCGGGGUCCCCUGUACCGGAAACCCUCGAUACGCCGGGCUGACUACCCGUCCGCGGCCUCUGUGGGACCGGGCAGCCCCCGGUAAGCAGUGUUGAUGGUCGGGUCCUGCGCGACCUGGAGCCGUGAACCCGGUCAGGCCCGGAAGGGAGCAGCCGUAAGCGGUGUACCGAGUGCGCCGCAGGGUCAUCCGGCCGGAGCCGGCUGCCGGGGAUAGCGACGGCCGCGCAGAGGUCCAGGACGGGGUGCACGG
rnacentral:SRP_RNA from 1 species